rnacentral:ribozyme from 1 species
UGCCCAGGAACUCCUAUCCCAACCUCCGUGUGGUACCGGCCGGGUUGCGAACUUUGGUCGUAGGCAGACAGAGAAGC